UGCCAGCAGCCGCGGUAAUACGGAGGGGGUUAGCGUUGUUCGGAAUUACUGGGCGUAAAGCGCACGUAGGCGGAUUAGAAAGUUGGAGGUGAAAUCCCGGAGCUCAACUCCGGAACUGCCUUCAAUACUUCCAGUCUAGAAUCUGUAAGGGGGUGGUGGAAUUCCGAGUGUAGAGGUGAAAUUCGUAGAUAUUCGGAGGAACACCAGUGGCGAAGGCGACCACUGGUACAGUAUUGACGCUGAGAUGCGAAAGCGUGGGUAGCAAACAGGAUUAGAUA
rnacentral:rRNA from 1 species